GAUGAACGCUGGCGGCGUGCCUAAUACAUGCAAGUCGAACGAGGUGCUUUUGUAGCAAUACGAGAGUAUCCUAGUGGCGAACGGGUGAGUAACGCGUGGAUGACCUGCCCCAAAGUGUGGGAUAACAGUCCGAAAGGAUUGCUAAUACCUCAUGUGGUUAUCGGUUUUAGAAAGCGAUAACUAAAGCAGCAAUGCGCUUUGGGAGGGAUCUGCGUCCCAUCAGCUAGUUGGUGAGGUAACGGCUCACCAAGGCGACGACGGGUAGGGGACCUGAGAGGGUGGCCCCCCCANAAUGGGAACUGAAACACGGUCCAUACACCCUACGGGUGGCAGCAGUAGGGAAUAUUGCUCAAAUGGGGCGAAAAGCCUGAAGC
rnacentral:rRNA from 1 species